rnacentral:rRNA from 1 species
AUUGAACGCUGGCGGAAUGCUUUACACAUGCAAGUCGAACGGCAGCACGGGGCAACCUGGUGGCGAGUGGCGAACGGGUGAGUAAUGUAUCGGAACGUACCUUUCAGUGGGGGAUAACGUAGCGAAAGUUACGCUAAUACCGCAUAUUCUGUGAGCAGGAAAGCAGGGGAUCGCAAGACCUUGCGCUGAUUGAGCGGCCGAUAUCAGAUUAGCUAGUUGGUGAGGUAAAGGCUCACCAAGGCGACGAUCUGUAGCGGGUCUGAGAGGAUGAUCCGCCACACUGGAACUGAGACACGGUCCAGACUCCUACGGGAGGCAGCAGUGGGGAAUUUUGGACAAUGGGGGCAACCCUGAUCCAGCCAUGCCGCGUGAGUGAAGAAGGCCUUCGGGUUGUAAGGCUCUUUCGGCCGGGAAGAAAUCGUAUCAGCUAAUACCUGGUGCGGAUGACGGUACCGGAAUAAGAAGCACCGGCUAACUACGUGCCAGCCGCCGCCGUAAGAC